AGGGAAAGAAGCUACAAUUAGCAAUUAGCUGUUACCUAAUGGAUAGUGAGCAACUCACCUACCCUA
rnacentral:tRNA from 1 species